UAUUUAUUUUGUUUUGUUUUGAGACAGGGUCUUGCUAUGCAGUUCAGGCUGGUCUUGAACUCACUAUGUAGCCCAAGCUGGCCUCCAACUCAUGGCAGUCCUCUUGCCUCAGCCUC
rnacentral:miRNA from 1 species